AAAUUUCCAUUAUUUCUUUCUAUUAGAAACAAAGUGUUCAAAAUAUUUGUGGUAAGAACUGUCAAAAACUUGUGAUAGCCAUGAUGAAGAGUUUUAUGACAAAUUCACUCAUGGCCAAAUCUAAUAUGGCAGCUGGAAAAGGCAAAGGAUUUUUUUAGUCUAACCAAGCUAUACAACUUAAUAAAAGUUUUAUGACAAAUUCACUUAUGGCCAAAUCUAAUAUGGUAGCUGGAAAAGGCAAAGGAUCUUUUUAGUCUAACCAAGCUAUACAACUUAA
rnacentral:lncRNA from 1 species